AUGCAGACUGAAAACAUAAAGCUUGAUAUUGAUGUUGCUGCGCCUGGUACGCUUGAUGAAGGCGACGACAGUCAAAACAAUAUAAUGACAUUGUCCUAUGCUGGUAGAACUCGUUAUAUGACUCAAAGCUAUCAUGAUGGAAUGGCAGCUUCGCAUGUCAACGACUCACCUGAUAUAGUCACCACAUUCACAUGUAACCCAAAGUGGGCUCAGAUAACAAAGACGCUUAGGCCUGAGCAACAAGAAAUCAAUAAGGCAGCUGACCCUGUUCGUAUCUAUCGCAUGAAGCUACUUGAGUAUCUGCAGAAGAUCAAAGACGGGAAGAUAUUUGGGCCUAUGGUCACUGGUACUGUGCCCGGGAUGAGCCGGCUGUUACAAAGACUAACGCAUCAAAAACAUUUGAGUGCUAGCUGA
rnacentral:rRNA from 1 species